rnacentral:tRNA from 1 species
GCGCCCGUAGCUCAGCAGGAUAGAGCAUCAGAUUCCUAAUCUGGGGGCCGGAGGUUCGAAUCCUCUCGGGCGCACCA